ACAAACUUGGUCAUUUAGAGGAAGUAAAAGUCGUAACAAGGUUUCCGUAGGUGAACCUGCGGAAGGAUCAUUAUCAAUUUAUUAUUAUAAUAAACCUUGUGUGCAAUUAGUGAAAAAGUUAAUAAAAGAUUGAAUUACCUUUGGGAGAAUUACCUUUGGGAGAAUUACCAAAGGGAGGAUUUCCAAAGGGAAGAAUAUCUUUUUUUUUAGUUAUAUAUUUGUCAAAUUUAUGUAUAUAUAUUUAUUUUUUAAAAUAAGAAAAAAAAAACUUUCAACAACGGAUCUCUUGGCUCUCGCAUCGAUGAAGAACGCAGC
rnacentral:misc_RNA from 1 species